UACAGAGGUCUCAAGCGUUGUUCGGAUUCAUUGGGCGUAAAGGGUGCGUAGGCGGCGCGGUAAGUCGGGUGUGAAAUCUCGGAGCUUAACUCCGAAACUGCAUUCGAUACUGCCGUGCUUGAGGACUGGAGAGGAGACUGGAAUUUACGGUGUAGCGGUGAAAUGCGUAGAUAUCGUAAGGAAGACCAGUGGCGAAGGCGGGUCUCGUGGACAGUUCCUGACACUGAGGCACGAAGGCCAGGGGAGCAAACAGG
rnacentral:rRNA from 1 species